rnacentral:tRNA from 1 species
GGGGGCGUAGUUCAGCCUGGUUAGAACGCCUGCCUGUCGAGCAGGAGGUCGCGAGUUCGAAUCUCGUCGCUCCCGCCC